AGUGAACGCUGGCGGUAGGCCUAACACAUGCAAGUCGAACGGCAGCACAGUAAGAGCUUGCCCUUACGGGUGGCGAGUGGCGGACGGGUGAGGAAUACAUCGGAAUCUACUUUUUCGUGGGGGAUAACGUAGGGAAACUUACGCUAAUACCGAAUACGACCUACGGGUGAAAGCAGGGGAUCUUCGGACCUUGCGCGUUUGAUUGAGCCGAUGUCGGAUUAGCUAGUUGGCGGGGUAAGGGCACACCAAGGCGACGAUCCGUAGCUGGUCUGAGAGGAUGAUCAGCCACACUGGAACUGAGACACGGUCCAGACUCCUACGGGAGGCAGCAGUGGGGAAUAUUGGACAAUGGGCGCAAGCCUGAUCCAGCCAUACCGCGUGAGUGAAGAAGGCCUUCGGGUUGUAAAGCCCUUUUGUUGGGAAAGAAAAGCAGCAUGUUAAUACCCCGCUGUUCUGACGGUACCCAAAGAAUAAGCACCGGCUAACUUCGUG
rnacentral:rRNA from 1 species